rnacentral:rRNA from 1 species
GAUGAACGCUGGCGGCGUGCCUAAUACAUGCAAGUCGAGCGAAUGGAUUAAGAGCUUGCUCUUAUGAAGUUAGCGGCGGACGGGUGAGUAACACGUGGGUAACCUGCCCAUAAGACUGGGAUAACUCCGGGAAACCGGGGCUGAUACCGGAUAACAUUUUGAACCGCAUGGUUCGAAAUUGAAAGGCGGCUUCGGCUGUCACUUCUGCUUGGACCCGCGUCGCAUUAGCUAGUUGGUGAGGUAGCGGCUCACCAAGGCAACGAUGCGUAGCCGACCUGAGAGGGUGAUCGGCCACACUGGGACUGGGACACGGCCCAGACUCCUACGGGAGGCAGCAGUAGGGAAUCUUCCGCAAUGGACGAAAGUCUGACGGAGCAACGCCGCGUGAGUGAUGAAGGCUUUCGGGUCGUAAAACUCUGUUGUUAGGGAAGAACAAGUGCUAGUUGACUAAGCUGGCACCUUGACGGUACCUAACCAGAAAGCCACGGCUAACUACGUGCCAGCCGCCGCAGUAA